rnacentral:rRNA from 1 species
AACGAACGCUGGCGGCAUGCCUAACACAUGCAAGUCGAACGAGACCUUCGGGUCUAGUGGCGCACGGGUGCGUAACGCGUGGGAAUCUGCCCUUGGGUUCGGGAUAACAGUUGGAAACGACUGCUAAUACCGGAUGAUGUCUUCGGACCAAAGAUUUAUCGCCCAGGGAUGAGCCCGCGUCGGAUUAGCUAGUUGGUGAGGUAAAGGCUCACCAAGGCGACGAUCCGUAGCUGGUCUGAGAGGAUGAUCAGCCACACUGGGACUGAGACACGGCCCAGACUCCUACGGGAGGCAGCAGUGGGGAAUAUUGGACAAUGGGCGAAAGCCUGAUCCAGCAAUGCCGCGUGAGUGAUGAAGGCCUUAGGGUUGUAAAGCUCUUUUACCCGGGAUGAUAAUGACAGUACCGGGAGAAUAAGCCCCGGCUAACUCCGUGCCAGCAGCCGCGGUAAUACGGAGGGGCUAGCGUUGUCGGAAUUACUGGCGUAAAGCGCGCGU